rnacentral:tRNA from 1 species
GGAGGGGUGGCCGAGCGGCUGAAGGCGGCGGUUUGCUAAACCGUUAUACACUGUAAAGGUGUAUCGUGGGUUCGAAUCCCAUCCCCUCCGCCA